rnacentral:misc_RNA from 1 species
AUGGCCGUACUACUAUUGUCA